rnacentral:rRNA from 1 species
UACGUAGGGCGCAAGCGUUUGUCCGGAAUUAUUGGGCGUAAAGAGCUCGUAGGCGGCUUGUCACGUCGGAUGUGAAAGCCCGGGGCUUAACCCCGGGUCUGCAUUCGAUACGGGCAGGCUAGAGUUCGGUAGGGGAGAUCGGAAUUCCUGGUGUAGCGGUGAAAUGCGCAGAUAUCAGGAGGAACACCGGUGGCGAAGGCGGAUCUCUGGGCCGAUACUGACGCUGAGGAGCGAAAGCGUGGGGAGCGAACAGG